rnacentral:rRNA from 1 species
GACGAACGCUGGCGGCGUGCUUAACACAUGCAAGUCGAACGGAAAGGCCCUGCUUUUGUGGGGUGCUCGAGUGGCGAACGGGUGUGUAACACGUGAGUAACCUGCCCUUGACUUUGUGAUAACUUCAGGAAACUGGGGCUAAUACCGGCUAGGAGCGCCUGCUGCAUGGUGGGGGUUGGAAAGUUUCGGCGGUUGGGGAUGGACUGGCGGCUUAUCAGCUUGUUGGUGGGGUAGUUGCCUACCAAGGCAUUGACGGGUAGCCGGCCUGAGAGGUGGACCGGGGACAUUGGUACUAAGAUAGGGAGCAGAGGCGUACAGGAGGCAAUAGGCGAGAAUCUUGUACAAUGGGGCGACGCGUGUUGAGGAGGUGUUCGGAGUGGGAAGAAGGUCAUCGGGUGGUGAACCGCUUUCGCUUGUGACGAAGCGUGAGUGACGGUAAUGGGUGAAGAAGCACCGGCUAACUACGUG